rnacentral:rRNA from 1 species
UGGAUACCUAGGCACCCAGAGACGAGGAAGGGCGUAUUAAUCGACGAAAUGCUUCGGGGAGUUGAAAAUAAGCAGAGAUCCGGAGAUUCCCGAAUAGGUCAACCUUUCGAACUUCUGCUGAAUCCAUGGGCAGGCAAGAGACAACCUGGCGAACUGAAACAUCUUAGUAGCCAGAGGAAAAGAAAGCAAAAGCGAUUCCCGUAGUAGCGG